rnacentral:rRNA from 1 species
CCUACGGGUGGCAGCAGUGGGGGAUAUUGCACAAUGGGGGAAACCCUGAUGCAGCGACGCCGCGUGAGUGAAGAAGUAUUUCGGUAUGUAAAGCUCUAUCAGCAGGGAAGAAAAUGACAGUACCUGACCAAGUAGCCCCGGCUAACUACGUGCCCGCAGCCGCGGUACUACGUAGGGGGCAAGCGGUAUCCGGAUUUUCUGGGUGCAAAGGGUGCGUAGACGGUUAUGUAAGUCUGGAAGUAAAGGCCGGGGGCUAAACCCGGGAAUGCUUUGGAAACUGUGUAACUGGAGUGCAGGAGGGGCAGGCGGAAUUCCUGGUGUAGCGGUGAAAUGCGUAGAUAUCAGGAGGAACACCGGCGGCGAAGGCGGCCUGCUGGACUGAAACUGACGUUGAGGCUCGAAAGCGUGGGGAGCAAACAGGAUUAGAUACCCGUGUAGUC